rnacentral:rRNA from 1 species
UACGUAGGGGGCAAGCGUUGUCCGGAAUCAUUUGGGCGUAAAGAGCGCGUAGGCGGCCCUGUAAGUCCGCUGUGAAAGUCAAGGGCUCAACCCUUGAAUGCCGGUGGAUACUGCAGGGCUAGGGUCCGGAAGAGGCGAGUGGAAUUCCUGGUGUAAGCGGUGAAAUGCGCAGAUAUCAGGAGGAACACCGAUGGCGAAGGCAGCUCGCUGGGACGGUACUGACGCUGAGGCGCGAAAGCUAGGGUAGCAAACAGG